CCUACGGGAGGCUGCAGUGAGGAAUAUUGGUCAAUGGGCGCUAGCCUGAACCAGCCAAGUAGCGUGAAGGAUGACUGCCCUAUGGGUUGUAAACUUCUUUUAUAUGGGAAUAAAGUGCAGUAUGUAUACUGCUUUGCAUGUACCUUAUGAAUAAGGAUCGGCUAACUCCGUGCCAGCAGCCGCGGUAAUACGGAGGAUUCGAGCGUUAUCCGGAUUUAUUGGGUUUAAAGGGAGCGUAGGCGGGUUGUUAAGUCAGUUGUGAAAGUUUGCGGCUCAACCGUAAAAUUGCCGUUGAUACUGGCAGCCUUGAGUACAGUAGAGGUAGGCGGAAUUCGUGGUGUAGCGGUGAAAUGCUUAGAUAUCACGAAGAACUCCGAUUGCGAAGGCAGCCUGCUGGACUGUAACUGACGCUGAUGCUCGAAAGUGUGGGUAUCAAACAGGAUUAGAUACCCUUGUAGUC
rnacentral:rRNA from 1 species